rnacentral:tRNA from 1 species
GCCGGGAUGUUGGAACUGGCAGACAAUAUGGACUUAAAAUCCAUUGGCUCGAGAGGGCCGUGUGGGUUCGACUCCCACUCCCGGCACCA